rnacentral:rRNA from 1 species
UACGGAGGGGGCUAGCGUUGUUCGGAAUCAUUGGGCGUAAAGGGCGCGUAGGCGGCCGAUCAAGUCGGAGGUGAAAUCCCUCGGCUCAACUGAGGAAUUGCCUUCGAUACUGUUCGGCUUGAGUCCUGGAGAGGGUAGCGGAAUUCCCGGUGUAGCGGUGAAAUGCGUAGAGACCGGGAAGAACACCAGUGGCGAAGGCGGCUACCUGGACAGGUACUGACGGCUGAAGCGCGAAAGCUAGGGGAGCAAACAGG